rnacentral:lncRNA from 10 species
CCAGCCGGCACAGGAAAUGGCUGCUGGAUGAAUGUGCAAGCUGCGCAUGAUGGUUGUGACUGCGUUCUGGUGCAGACUAACUGAAGAGCAGAGAUGAGGGAGAGAAGAGAAGGAGAGCCUUGGGCACCCCAACAGAGCAAGUCCCAGGCUGAGCCGCCCUCACCCUCUCGGCCCUACCUACCUACCUUCCACCUGGAUCCAGCUCAGUGCUGAUCACACAGUUUGCUGAAGGGAUAGAGCUGGGGAAUGUCAGAAAUGGGGAAACUGAGUCAGCUUCCAGGCCUCUUAAGUCCUUGACUGGGGCUCACCUGAUCCAGCCAGAGGCAAGGGAGACCUAAGCCACUCUGGAGCCUCCAUUUCCUGAUCUGUAACUCGGGGCUUGUUGUCCACUGGGGCCUCACUUCCCCAGACUGUGGCCCCCAUCCUUCUCCAGACCUCCUCCCUGCUCUAGCCCAGGGCCUCGCUUAGACCCCCACCCCCAGGGGAGCCUUGACAGAGGCCCAUGCCCACCCUUCCUUGUACACGCCUGAGCACGGCUGAUUCCUCCCUGUGAGCCCAGGCCAAUAAUGUGCUCUUCAUGCCACAAAGCUGAAAAGCACUCAGGAACCAGGUGCAAUCGGCCUAAGGGACCUGUCCAAGGCCACCCAGCCCUUAAGAAGCAAAGAAGGGCUGACCUGUCACUACCCACUGAUAUCUCAGGACCUGCAGGGGCAGGGUUAAAUGCACAUUCCCCUCUCACCCACACGGCAGCAAGAGAAAGAGUUAGGGUCCUGGGGGCUGCAAUCUGGGCAAUGCCUAAGCAGACAGCCUCAGACAAUGAAGGGCGAGUCAGG